rnacentral:lncRNA from 13 species
GGGGGUGGGGGGGGGGGGCGAGGGCGGGGGAGAAUCUCCCAGGGACUUUUUUCACCGGCCCCUCCAGGGGAGGGCUGGCCCUCUGCUCUCUGGAACCUGGAGAUAGCUCAGGGUUCUGUGGCACACCCCAGAUCCACCCCACCCCAAAUGAACCCCAGAAACGUGGCCUCAAGGCCCGGGAGCUGCAGAAACACCCCGGGUCUUUGCUCCCAGGGAGUCCUGUCCAGGGAAUGGGAAAAUGUCGCAUGGCCAGGCCAGGGACCUGCUGUUCAGGGCCCUGGAGAUGCCCCUCCACCCACUUCCUCUGGGACGGAGGGCGGGUCCGUUUCUCUGGCUGAACCUCCUCUGCCCUCACCUAGGGAGGAGCGGCGUCUUCGGCGUGCCCGCGAUGCACCCGCCUGCUCACUGUCAGCAGCCCCAGCCGCACAAGGGGCUGAGUCCCAAGAUGACCUUUCACCAGCGCGGGUGGAGUUCAUGGAAUCCGAUCCCGUCCUGGCCUCGCAGAGGGUUUUAUUAUUAGGAGAAGCAGCAGAAGUGGAGUGGAGGGGGUCCAUCAUCUCCCGCAACCGGAUAAAAUAGAAACAACUAAAUAAAGCACCCUUGCCGCUCAAGGGAAAAAUUAUGCUUGUCAAUUAUGAUUUAUGAGCGAUUGCCAAACGGGGAAUGGGGCCUGCCCGCCUUGGAGGCCACUCUCUGCCUCCCUGCAGCUUGGUGGGUGAGGCUGGGGGCUGCGUGGCUCUGUGGGGAGAAGGUGCCCCUCCUGCGGCUCUGGCUGUUAACCCCUUGUUGCCUGCAAGCUUUCAAAAGAUGAAACUCAAGCAAGAGAACAUCAUGGAACCCCAGCUUCCCACCUCCACCCAUCACCGCCAGCUGCAGCAGUCCGGAUCACCACGGUGGGGCAAGCAGUCGGAUUCCAUCCAUCAGUGGCUCAUCCACGGCACCUGCAACCCCUUCUAUCCUUGUGAAGGGUGCCACACGGCCCCCAGGUGGCUAGCAGGGUGCUGGGGGUCAUUCUGGCAACUCCCUCCCUUUCCCUUACCUGACAACCCCUCACUCUCCUGGCGCUCCUGCCUCCCCUUCCUCAGUCCUGUAGAUUCCAGCUCUCCCCCACCCUGCAUCUCCUCCACACACUCCCUCCACAGCCCCAGCUGCACCACUGCUUCCAGCCUCUUAACUUCUUUGAGAAAACAUUUCAGCCCAGCUGAAGAAGGGAGGUUCUAA